rnacentral:rRNA from 1 species
AGUGAACGCUGGCGGUAGGCCUAACACAUGCAAGUCGAACGGCAGCACAGUAAGAGCUUGCUCUUACGGGUGGCGAGUGGCGGACGGGUGAGGAAUACAUCGGAAUCUACUUUUUCGUGGGGGAUAACGUAGGGAAACUUACGCUAAUACCGCAUACGACCUACGGGUGGAAGCAGGGGAUCUUCGGACCUUGCGCGAUUGAAUGAGCCGAUGUCGGAUUAGCUAGUUGGCGGGGUAAAGGCCCACCAAGGCGACGAUCCGUAGCUGGUCUGAGAGGAUGAUCAGCCACACUGGAACUGAGACACGGUCCAGACUCCUACGGGAGGCAGCAGUGGGGAAUAUUGGACAAUGGGCGCAAGCCUGAUCCAGCCAUACCGCGUGGGUGAAGAAGGCCUUCGGGUUGUAAAGCCCUUUUGCUGGGAAAGAAAAGCAGCAGGUUAAUACCCCGCUGUUCUGACGGUACCCAAAGAAUAAGCACCGGCUAACUUCGUG